GGUACUUUCCUGAUAGGUCCUUUCAUAGGACAUAUCGGAGGGCGUGCCUAUGCCUUGGGAAGCAUGCACGUCGCCCGCUAGGACUAUAUAAAGGGGGUCCAUCACCGACGGAGGUACGCAUUAUUCUUGAGUUUUACUGUUGCUAUUGUUGCUCCGUUUUUCUCCACAUUCCGAUGACUGACUUGAGCGUCGGAGGACCAACGCCGGGGACCCCUUCCCUAGCCCGAUACUGAUGUCAUUUGUUUUGCAGAGUGGAGCGAAGUCCACGUCCGAUCAGCAAAAUCGCCACCUCCCAGCUUUCCAACUUCACGUUUUCGGACAGGAUCAGUUAUUUUGUCGCAAGAGGACCUAGAGUUACUCAUAGAUACUAGAGCGCAAAAGUUGGUGCAACAACAGCAAGCAACAGCCGGAUAUCCUUUGUCAAACGACCCAGCUAUAUCUAUGACAGGCCCGCACACCGAGCGAGGGAUCGGAGUGGAAGGGCUGACUGUGUUCCCACUGAUUCCUCCUUCUCCGGUCGGCUUCAUGCAGGCGCUUGCACUACCGAUUAGCCUUCUGCCCGUGCCUCCAUCUCCGCUUGCAUAUCAUCGAGCAUUGUUUCACACGUCUUUCGAUGACAUGGGCCGAGCGGAGAGGCCCCAAGGAUCAUCUUCUGGAGAUGCACUCGUUAGGGAUAAUUGGAAGGGGAAAGCUCUAAUGGUCAGUAGCUCUCCUGAGUGGAUAAGUAUGUCGUUCUCCCUGAAAAUAUUGGAAGACAAAUUGCCGAGCCUUAGCAAUUGUGGAGUAUGGAGGAGUGACCGAUCCGGAGGACCAUCUGCUCAAGUUUAAAAAUGCAACUAUUCUCCACCAAUACAUGAAUGACGUCAAGUGUUGAGUGUUCCUAACUAUCCUCUCCGGCUUUACACAGUGAUGGUUUAACCGACUUUCAGCCGACUCCAUUUGUUACUUUAAGGAUUUCCGCAAGGCGUUUCUCCACCACUUCGCCAACAACCAACGGUACCACAAGACCACGGUUUAUUUUUCCUCUAGCAAGGACUCAAGGAAGUGCUCAGGACGUACAUUAAACUGUUUAAUCAAGUGGUUAUAGACAUCCCUUCGGUCACUCCAGAAAUUCUGGUGAGUGCUUUUUCCCAAGGGCUCAUAGAUGGGGACUUCUUCCGGUCCCUAAUCAAGAAGGCCCCUAGGGAUUUCUACUAUUUGCUAGAAAGGAUGACUAAGUACAUCAACGUGGAAGAGACUCAGUCCGCUCGGAAGGAGGUAGCUAUGCUUGCUCAUGUCUCUGCCUCCGAACGCCAAGUUCCUCUCCCUCCUCUUGCGCACAAAGGACCUCGAUCGGACCCCAGUCGUAUCCACACAAGCAUAGGCUAAACACGGUCUAGCAUGUGGAGGCCGAUCAGGUCUCGUUUGCCGAGCCCCGUCAAUGGGUCUAGCCAUUUUGUACUUACCACCGGACUGGAACCCAUAACACUCAAGAGUGUUAUAGGUACAAUUAGGGGAGGCACCGACCGUCCAACCAAGAGUUCCGAAUGUGAUUGCUAUCUCUAAACAACAGGCGUUAUCCACGGCCGAACGAACCACCUAGAAGAGACAUCCGAGAUGCCAACUGCCCCAACAAGUACCCUAAGAACGAGAAAAUAGUGCCCCGACCCCCACCAAAGUCAAGCUAAAGCGUUCCCCGACUCCACAAGAAGAAAAUUGUGGUGGGGGGACAUUGGUAUGAUAGCGGGCGGCUCGAUUGACGGUGAUUCCAACCGAGCCAGAAAGUCACACGCUUGCCGAUUGAAAAUUCAUGUAGACGGGUGUAGCUGAGAGCAGGCGCAUGGGCCAGAAAUUUGUUUUGAUCCCAAUGACUUAGAAGGGAUGGAAGUACCGCACGAUGAUGCCUUGAUCAUCAAGGCUAUUAUAGCUAAUUAUAAUAAAUAUCGUACCUUUGUGGAUAUAGGAAGCUCUAUCAACAUCAUAUUCAAGAAGGCGUUUGAUCAAAUUGUAGAUAGAGAAGUGUGAACUUCAACCUAUGACGACGCCCCUGUAUGGAUUCACCGACAACGAAGUGCAACCGAUCGGACAAAUCCAAUUGACUGUCUCUCUGGGGAGGAGCCCCUGAUGAGGAUCUGUCGAUCGACCAUCAUUGUGGCGGACACGCCCUCGGCCUACAACGUGAUUUUUGGUCGAUUGGCGCUGAAUAAGUUCCGAGUGAUCGUAUCCACCUUCUGCCAAAGAUUAAGUUCCUGGUCGACAACUUGGUGGGAGAGGUGAAAGGGGACCAACUGGUAGCAUGCAAGUGUUACGUGGAUACGAGCAAGACCGAAUCUUGCGCAGCUCUGAAGAUCCAGUGAGUGGAGGUUAAUGUCAUUCAACGCUAAUUUAUGAAGAGAAGGAGGAGGUACAGAUCCAUCCUAGUCGAUUAGAGACCACCACUCAAAUAGCGACCGACCUGACCCCAGAAUUCAAGGCUGAUCUAGUCGCAUGUCUAACCUGUAACAAUGAUAUGUUUGCCUGGACGCCUCAUGAAAUCACUGGUGUAUCACCAAGUGUUAUGGAAUACGUGCUCUAUGUCCUCCCGGGCGCUCGGCCUGUCAAGCAAAGAAAGAGAGAUUUUGAAGCCGAGCAGAACAAGAUCAUCUGAGCAGAGGUUGAUAAAUUGCUCAAGGCCGAACACAUUCGGGAGGUGCAGUUCCUAGGCUAAUUGGCCAACAUAGUCCUGGUAUCCAAACCCGAACUCGGGAACAAAUGGUACGUUUGCGUGGACUUUAGGGAUCUGAACAUAGCAUGCUCGAAAGAUUAUUAUCCCUUGCCCCACAUUAACCAAGUGGCGAACUCGACCUCCGACUGCGAGCUGAUAUGCAUGCUGGACGCGUAUUAGGGCCGCCAUCAAGUCCCAUUAGCUAAGGAGGACCAGGGGAAGGUUAGUUUCAUAACUAUCGAACGAACCUACUGAUAUAAUGUUAUACUGUUUAGGCUAAAGAAUGCAGGGACUACAUACUAACUACUUAUGAACAAAGUGUUUCGGAAGUAGAUCAGACGAAACAUGGAGGUGUACGUUGAUGACAUACUGAUCAAGUCUCACAGAGUAGAUGACCUAUUUAUAGACAUUGACGAAACUUGCCAACAUUAAGGGAGUAUGGGCGCAAGUUCAACCCCAACAAAUGCUUGUUCGGAGCCAAGAGUGUUUCCUUGGCUACAUAGUGAUAGAACAGGGGAUCGAAGCGAACCCAAACAAGGCACAAGCUAUCCAGGACAUGGCUCUCUCGCGGAAUUUGAAGGAGAUGUAACGGUUGACCGGACAGAUCAUGUCGUUGUCCCAUUUCAUUUUGAGAUUGUUCGAUUGGAGUCUACCCUUCUUCAAAAUACUCCGUCGAACUAUCAAGUUUCAAUGGGAUGUCGAGUGCGACCAAGCGCUGGAGGAAUUGAAAGAUUACUUGUUUGCCUUGCCUAUACUUGUUAAACCAAUAGUGGACGAGCCAUUGUGAGUGUACUUAUCCACCAUUGAAAGUGCAGUUGGGUCGGUGUUAGUACGACAGGAGGGCAAAGAACAACAACCAGUAUUUUUCUUAAGCCAUUUAUUAAAAGAUGUUGAAUGUCGCUAUACCGCUCUCGAGAAGUUAACAUAUGGGCUAAUUUUAGUCUCUUGGAGGUUACGUUCCUAUUUUCUCUCUCAUCCAAUCAUUGUAUUAACCAAUAACACCCUAGGUCGAGUGCUCAUCAACCCGGAAGCUUCGCGAAGAUUGAUCAAGUGAAUCAUAUAGCUCAGUAAAUAUGAUAUCAAGUAUCAACACCGAAUGACUAUCAAAGCCUAGGCCUUAGCCGAUUUUGUGACUGAAAUACAAAAUCUGGAACCAGAAGAAACUUGGAAAAUCUAUAUGGAUAGAUCAUCCACUCGGCAAGAUAGUGGGGUCAGAAUUCUUGCAGUUGUCCAUUCCACUGGAUUAUCGAGCAACUAAUAAUGAAGCGAAGUACAAAGCAUUAGUAGCCGGUUUGCAAGCCGCGAAGAAUGCCGAAAUCGCUCGAGUUCUAAUCUACUCAGAUUCCUAGUUGACGACUUAAUUGUCAGGCAACUUUGAGAUCAACAGGGAAUGACUAAGGUUGUACGCGGAGGCCUUUGAGAAAUUGAAAGUUGAAUUUCAAGAAGUGACCUUGUAGAAAGUUCCCCGAGCGAAAAAUCAGAAGGCCGAUGAGUUAGCCAAGUUAGCUGGCUCCUUAAUCCCUUAGAUUUUGGACAAGCCUGUGGAGUAAAUAUUGUUGAUAGCUCAUAUCGAACGGCAGACCAAGCUAGAAUUACAGAGCGACUAGAGAGCGUCGUUACUUUCGUUCCUUCAACAAGGAAAUUUACCUGCCGACCCGAAACAAGCGCGUAUGAUAAAGAAAAGGGUCGAUCAGCUCACAUUAGUUGGAGAUCACUUGUACAAGAGGGUUUUCUCUCGCCCUUUGCUCAGAUAUAUCGGGUCAGAUGAUGUGCAGUACAUUUUACAAGAGGUUCAUCAGGGUUCCUAUGGAAGCCACUCGGGAGUCUAGCCACUCAAAAGAUUUUGCUAGCCGAAUAUUUUUGGCCCACUCUACAAGUCGACUCGACUCGGCUGGUAGCCACUUGUUUAUCGGGUCAAAAGCACCAGAAUAUCCCGUAUCAUCCACAGAACUGCUGAAGACCUCAAUUGGGAUUGAUAUUAUAGGGUCCUUCCCUAUGGCAUCCGAUGACCAUUGAUUAUUUUUCUAAGUGGAUGGAAGCUGAGGAGUUGGUAAAAAUAACCGAGUGGAUAGUCAUCAAGUUCCUAUCGCAGAACAUCAUAUGCCUGUUCGGAAUUCUCUAUAAGCUUGUCUCAGAUAAUGGAAGGUCGUUCCAGGGUCGGAAAAUCCAGGAGUGGUGCUCAAGUUAUGACAUCUUGAGCUUUCACCUCCGUAACAUAUCCUCAAAGUAACGGUCAAACCGAAGUUGCCAACAGAGAAAUCAUCAGAGGACUCAAAACUAAGCUAGAUCAUGUUGGAGGAAGUUGGAUGGAUGAACUACCAAGUAUAUUGUGGGCCUAUCGCACUACUCCUCGAGAAGCCACAGGUAUAACCCCUUUUCAUCUGAUUUAUGGUGGAGAAGCAGUCGUUCCAGUGGAAGUCGUCUUGGAGUUCGAUCGGAGGCAACUGUAUGAUGAAGACAACCCCGGUCGACGCCUUAUGGAGCUCGAUCUGAUAGACGAGACUAAAGAUAAAGUCGUCGCUCAACUGGUAGUAUAUCGUCAGCGAAUGAAACAAAACUAUAAUCAAAGGGGCAUCCGAAGAUUCUUUCAAAUGGGAGAUCGGGUUUGGAAGCCGAUCAAGUCGGUCGGGGAUAUCAGCAAGUUGGAGUCACAAUGGGGUGAACCCUACAAUAUAGUGCAGAAGCUCACUUCUAGUUCCUACUAUCUUCAAGACGUUGAAGGGAAAAACUUGGAUCGGCCGUGCAAUGCAAAUCAUCUCCAGAGUUAUCGGGCCUAAGAAUACAUGUGUAAUGCGUUUAUAUAUCCUGUUGAAUAUUCACGCUUAAUGAAUGCAGGCAAACUCAUCUCAAGAGGUUCCAUUCUAAACUCUCGAACCUUAGCGUCGAGUUAUAAGCGGAUUUUCCCGUGUCCUUUGACCAUCCGGUCAGAGGUUUAAUUUCAGAUUCUUGAGCUUGGUUGCCAAAUUAUAAGCGGAUUUCCCUGUGCCCUUCGAUCAUCCGAUCGGAGGUUUAAUUUUAGACUCUUGGGCCUGGGUGCCGAGUUGUAAGCGGGUUUCCCCGUGCCUUUCAAUCAUCCGGUUAGACGUUUAAUUUCAAACUCGUGCCUUGAUGCCGAGCAGGUUUCCUUAUGCCCUUCGAUCAUCCGGUUGGAGGUUUAAUUCCAGACUCUUGGACCGGGUGCCGAGUUAUAAGAGGGUUUCCCCAUACCCCUCGACCAUCCGAUUAGAGGUUUAAUUCCAAACUCUUGGACCUGGGUGCUAAGUUGUAAGCGGGUUUCCCUGUGCCCUUCGACCAUCCAGUCAGAGGUUUAAUUCCAGACUCUUGGGCAUGAGUGCCAAGUUAUAAGCGAGUUUCACCGUGCCCUUCUACCAUCUGGUCGGAGGUUUAAUUCUAGACUCUUGAGCUUUAGUGCCGAGUUAUAAAUGGAUUUCCUCGUGCCUUUCGACCAUCCAGAAGUUUAAUUCUAGACUAUUGGGCCUGUGUGUCAAGUUAUAAACGGGUUUCCCCAUGCCCUUCGACCAUCCGGUCGGAGGUUUAAUUCCAGACUCUCUAGCCUUAGCGUCAAGUUAUAAGUGGAUUUCCCCCUGCUCUUCGACCAUCCGAUCAUAGGUUUAAUUCCAGACUCCCGAGCCUUAGCGUCGAGUUACAAGCGAGUUUCCUCGUGCCCUUCGAUCAUCCGAUCGGAGGUUUAAUUCCAGACUCUCGAGUCUUAGCGUCAAGUUAUAAGCGAGUUUUCCCGUGCCCUUCGACCAUCUGGUCGGAGGUUUAAUUCCAGAGUCUUGGGCCUAGGUGCUAGUUAUAAACGAGUUUCCCCGUUCCCUUCGAUCAUCUGAUCAGAGGUUUAAUUCCAGAUUCUUGAGUAUUAGCACCGAGUUAUAGGCGGGUUUCCCCAUGUCCUUCGACCAUUCGGUCGGAGAUUUAAUUCCAGAUUCUAGAACCUCAACGUCGAGUUAUAAGCAAGUUUCCUCAUGCCCUUCGACCAUCCGAUUAGAGGUUUAAUUCCAGACUCUCGAGCCUUAACGUCGAGUUAUAAGCGGGUUUCUUUGUGUCCUUCGACCAUCCGGUCGGAGCUUUAAUUCCAGAUUAUCGAGCCUCAACGUCGAGUUAUAAGCGGGUUUCCCUGUGCCCUUUGACCAUCCGGUCGGAAGUUUAAUUUCAGACUCUUCAGUCUUAGCGUCAAGUUAUAAGCGAGUUUCUCUGUGCCGCUUACUUAACGUCAAGUAACGUUUCCCAACUCUUGCAACUUAACGUCAAGUCAUGGGUGGGGUCCUCCGUACAUUUAUUGAGAAAUCAUUUAGCCGCUUACUCGACACGAUUCAGCUGCUCGCUCGGUAUCAUUUAGCCGCUCGCUCGGCACUAUUCAGUCACUCGCUCGACAUAAUUCAGCCGCUCACUCAGCACUAUUCAGCCACUCGCUCAAUACCAUUCAAUCGCUCUCUCAACGCGAUUCAACCACUCGCUCGGUAUCAUUCAACCGCUCGCUCGACACGAUUCAGCCUCUCUCUCAGCACCACUCAGUCGAUGGACUGGACUAAUUGAUUAAGGACGAAAUCUCAAGGGUUAUUUAUUUAUUGUUCACUUGGUCGAUAUUGCAUCAAUAAGCCUCUAGUAAGGUCAUGAAGAGAAGGUGAGCGGAUAGUCACAUUACCAAGGGUUGCGCAUACCUGCUAAAGCGAAAGGUUUCCGAUCAAUCGGGGUGAUGCUUAGUCGUGCGACAUUUGUUUAAGCAUUACUCGCACAAAUUUGUGCGCAUAAAUUAACUCGAUGCUAAGGAAAAGAUGCACGACAUAACACCAAGGAAAAAUGGCAAAGGCUAAACAAUAGUAGAAGAAUAUAUACAGUAAAGUAGCACAAGUUCUUACGCAUUUACAAGGCUAAGGGGAAGAAACCCCGAAGGAAAAAGUUCUCAUAAGAAUACUAAGCGAAGUCUGGGAAAGCAUCAUUUGAAAUAUCCUCUAAAAUCUUUGGCGGCGAAUGAAAUUCUUGGGGAUGUCUGCUGUCAAAUAGCUAGCUUACCAACAUUGCUUUAUGGCUCCUUCCACACCAUAGCCAAACAUCUUUGAGGUACGUUAGCUGAGCUUCAUAUUGAACUCCCGAGAGCGCAAGUAAUCCACUCUGUAAGCUUCUAGCCGCUUGGGCUCCCCCACCUUGCAAUUUGCCAGCUCAGAUUUUUCCCUCUAGCUCGAUGUCCUUGGAAUCCAGGGUGCGUUGUUUCUCUUCAAGCUAAAGGUCCUUGACAGUCAGUUUGGCCUCUUUGUUGGCUAGCUCGCAGGUAAGUGUGGACUAUGCUUCUUUUAGCUUCUUGGCAAGGGCUUGGGCUUCAAUGUUCUUCAAGUCCAGGUCGGAUAUGACCCUUAGUUUCCGAGUGAUCUCCGAUCAGAGGCGGGAUUCGGAAGUCUGUAGUUGUUUCUGGAGCUUCUCAAUUUGGCCCGCCUGGCUGAGUCCUGUAUCCUUCUGUUCAGUAAGGGCCCACUCGGCUCUUAGCAGCAGACUUGACUCUCUAGCUCUUUCUUUAGGCGAGCCACUUCAACUUGGAGUCGCUCAUAGGAACCCUAAGAAGUUCCUGCUCCUCCCAUCGAGCCCUUAAGGGUCCGGUAAUUAUGACUUAGCUCCGCCAUCUAGUCAACCAGAACUGACAAAGUAAAGGAUAAAUUAAAGUUAACACCACAAAAAAAGGGUAUAUGACAGUGGAGAAAGUUUACCCCUGUGACAUCUUGGGAGAAGCGAUCGAUCAACUUCUCUGGGGAGCACUCGGAUGUGUGCGCCCGGGAGUCCGCCCAAGUCUAAGCCAGCGAGCCUUGUAUUUUUAUCAAGUGCUAAGGGGGGGAGUGGCACGGAGGGGUUUGUGCAAAGUCACUCAUGAGAAGGCAGCCUGAGUGUGGCGUUGACUUUCCUGGGCCCGGACCCUUAUGAGCUAGACUUAGACUUUGAUUUGGGUGUCGAGUAUAUUUUAGAGUGGGGCCUUGUUGGUUCGGUCGGCGAAGGAGAUAAAAAGGAAAUUGGCAGCGCAUGAUUCGCUCCGAUCGGCGGUGCGGGGUCUGGUGGUGUCCGCUCAGAUGAAACAGGAAUUAGACGGUGGGCUCCGAGUUCAGGAGGAAUUGACAAUGAACUCUCUCCCUGCUCGGACAAUGGACGAGGUGCCAACGCUUCGGUGGAAUUUUGUUGCAUGUUUGUAGCUGAGCGACAUCUCUUGAGACGUUGACGUUGAAGCAGGGGCUCGUCAUAGGCGGUGGACUAAGAGGAAACCUCUAUGGCCAUCACAGAAGGACGAGGGGGGAGGGUGCAAUUCCUCAGUAUUAGCAGCCACGUCACUCCCCGAGAGUUGGCUAGCGCCCUCCUCGCCGGCUGACUCCUCGGUUGAGCUGAUCGACCAAAGCCUAUGGCUUGCCAGCUCAGCCUCACCGUGUUCGUCUAUUGCUUCGUCGUCUAGCUUGGUGGAAUCCCCUAGGCAGGCUUCCACAUGGUUUUGACUGCCAAAUAGAAAAAAAUCAGUUAGAUACAACAAUAGAGGGAGGUUGAAUUUCUCACCAAAGUUGUUGGGCAUCCUAGUUUGGAUGAGACUGAGUCCGAAGAUAUACAAAACAUCCUCCAAGAACAGCUGGUGAAUGUUGAACUUUCAGUUGGACAGCUGACUGAGGCAGUGAGGUAGGUCGGCUCCCAGUGGAAUCCGUUUAGCUCGGGAGAAUGAGACAAUUUCAUUUGCCAACCUGUCGGGAAGGAUACUAGAGGGACUGACUGGAAGUAAAAGUAAUGAGACUUCCAACCUUUGUUGGAAGUGGACAUUUUAUCGAAGAAAACAGCACCCAUUCGGGCUUGGAGAAUAAUAACAUUCUGCUCAGAUUUUUUGGGAUAAUAAAAAUAAUGGAAGACUCGGGGGUGUAGGGGAACUCGGUACAAACGAAAGAGGAUGAUGACUCCACACAAAAACCUAAUAGAGUUGGUGGCUAACUACUAGAGCUGAAUGUGUACAUUGGUGGCUAACUGCUGGAGCGGAAUGUGGAAAUAUGUACAGACUUCCGAGAAAAAGGGAUGUAGUGGGAAACGAAGGUCGGCCAGAAAUUGAUCCUUAAAGAAGGUUAUGUAGCCGGCAAGGGGAGGAUGAGGACGAUAGUGGCCGGAGGGUAUGAUAUGGUGGUUGUGGGGGAGAUUAUAAGUCACAUUUAAUCCACUUCCCCGCCGUUGAAGUCAGAGGCGAUGGAAGUGUACCAGAGAUUGUGGACGACGAUGGGAGGAGCAGUGGCCAUGAGGAGCAGGAAAAGUGAACGAAAAAGGGAUGAAAAACGAACUUACGGCGAAAAGAUGAAACCUAAAAAAUUGUUUGCAGUAGCGAAGGAAGUUGAAGAAGUCGAGGAAGAAGGCGAAGAUGAGAAUAAGAAAACGAUAGAAGUUGUAUCAAAGGUUGUAAACCUUAAAAACCCUAGCAGUGCCCCACUACAACCGUUUGAUCAUGGGAGCAAAGGAGAGAGGAUUAAUCAACGCCGUCGAAUUUGAACCGCUAGAGGUCACAUCAAAUUUCAACAGUAACCUGCUGUUUUAGAUAUUCUUUUCAUAGGCGUGCGCCACAUGGUAGAAAGAUACAGGCCGCAUUUUUUAGGGAUGAGAGGCAGUAAGCAUGCUUAUGCUCAUCAUACUAAGCAUUAAUGGUGAAUGACGUGUCCUGUUUUCAAAGGACAAGUAUGACGUCAACUCGAGUCGAGUGACGGAUCAGGGACUGAGCAUCCGAUCGGAACAUGAGAAACACAAAAAGACACAAGUGUCUAGUCAGUCGGACUUGCAGCCUCCAACAACUAGAUUUGAAGGGGAGACUUGUGAUAUAAAGAAUAGGGUAAGGUCCCCGAAGUGGGGUCAAAGUCAAUAAGGUCGGCUGAUAUGGAUGUCAAGGUUAUGGAGGUGUUAACACUCGGGAUUAGUACGGUAGCACGACUCGAUUGAGUGGUCCUGCCGAUCGGAUUGCGAGUCCCCCCAACUUGAUGAAACCCUAAGACAACCGAAUCCAUAAGGUGAUCAACAUUCCUUAGUUGACCCGACUCCAUUCGAGAGCGAGGUCCGACCGGACGUUAGAGAGGAAUCGAUUGGUCUACCAUCAAAGCAUAUUCAAGGCCCACAAAUCCAACGACCCAAUAUUCCUUUUUGACGUUUUGUAUUACCGCUGUCAGAAAAUCAAGAGAAUAUUCCCUGUGCAAUCUGUACGAAGGAAGCUUUUACCUGCAAAGCACAGAAAUGGUGAGUCUAUUUUAGGAAAGUUGUCAGAAUGCCAGAAUAGUCGGUCCUUUUUUGAAAAUGCAUUGAUAUUCGUACACAAAGGAAAACUAGCACUAUAUAAAGGGUCUCCUCCUAAAGGGCCGGGUACGCAAAAUUACACACUCGGAUCUCACUGCUCAUUUUUACUGUCUGUCGCACUCCAUUAUUCUCUCGAUCAUUUGUCUGAUUUGAGAGUCGGAGUGUCUGGCCCGGUUGCUGACGUUCUCUUACCUCUAUAUUCUUUUUGACAUGCAAGACCGCUUGGCGUCACCUUCCUCUAGCUCAAAGUCUUUUCACGGUCAACAUCAAAGCCACCUAGCCGACUGUCCAUCUUUCCCGUGUUCCGAUAGGAUCAAUCCUUUAUUAGGAUCUCUAAUUUUUUGCGCAUAGAUUAAUCUAAUGCAAGCAAUGAUGUCAUUGUGUGCAUGAACUUCGAGAUGGCGCUCUGCUGCUGUCAAGUUGCGUCAAUAUAAUCUGAAAUUCCUGAGGCGGGCCUCUACUGUUUCUAAUUGUUCCUCAACUAUGUAGAUUUCAGUCCUCUUGGCAUGAUUGCUGCUGAUUGUGUUAUGAACCAAUUGGAAACCAACACGACAUGGAUCAUUCUUGUCAGCUACCGAACAAGUACACACACUGAACAAUAGGUGACUGAAACAAUAUCCAUGUCUUUUUGUUUGAUGUAUCAUUUUGUUCCUCUGCAGGCAGCCAUGUUCAAAGGGAAAUCAUUCUCCUGCAAAAACCAUGUGAGAUGUUCCGUUCAGACUGAUUAUAUGACUGCCUUGGACCUUAGUGGGUUCUGGAUUCUUACUAGUAUUGUCCUUGCAACUUAUGGCAAUUCUGCAUUGUUGUACUCAGAACUCUAUAUGAAAAGGAAAGAACACUGAAAGCAUGCAAAUUAAAUGGUAGUCUUUUUAGGGGGCAGUGUUGAAUGGUGUUGCAUGUGAUGGUCACUAGCUAGAUCAUUCUCAUUUCCUUGGUUAUGGAUUUAUCGUACUAUGUUGGUGGAGGUCAUCAGACUAGUGCAUAGACAAAGGUGCUAAGGAGGACUUCAUUGUUUCAUGGAGAAAGUGGUAGAUGGAUUAAGAGAAAUAAUAAAAAGGUGCAGAUUGAUGCUAACAGCAUUUUUUCUUUCAAACAUACUGAUGAAACUAUAGAAGUUAUCAGAUUGCAAAGGUAUGUGUCAAUCUGAGUAAAAACAUACUGGCUUCAUGUUUAUUGAUCAUGAUUUUCUCGUGUCCCUUUGAUCUAAAAUACACGGACUUGACAAGCACAAAGUUUCAGUCUCAAUUUGUUUGAAGGUUUAAGGACAUCUGUAUCAGACAUAGUUCAUCAGGAACCAUGGUUAGCAAUGGUCCUCUCUUCCUGAUAAAAGUUGCAUGAAUGGUGGAAGUUAUGAUGACUGGUGCCAUUGAAUUCUCAAAAGGAUAAGUGCGAAGGGGAUGGAAAAACCAACUAAAACAGCAGGAAUGCUAGGAUUCAGGCUUUUUCUCCACUGCAAUGAAUGAAAUAAUUCUAAAACGCAUAAAAAACCAAAAUUUCUCAUGAGAAUUGUGUUUUUUUUAAAGUAAUAUCCAGUCAACAUGCUAAGGACAAGGAAGAGUGCCCUAUGGCGAAAAUUUUCAAGAUUUCAACUGAUUUGACUAAAACUGCUGCAAAUCAGUGAGCUGACUUAUGUGGUGAUUGUGUUGAUUGAUUAAUGCACUUCUACAUAAACCUCAUUGUUGUUCCCACAAUAUAGUGAGUAAACAAAAUUUCAAGAUCUCAUCUGAUUUGACUAAAACUGGAAUGAACCAGUGAGUUGACUUUUGGUGACGGUCCUGAUUGAUUAAUGCACUUCUGUUUGGUGGGUGGUGAGCACUCUCUUCCACAUAAAUCUCAUUGUUCUUCAAGUUUGAAUCCUUACCCGGUAUAGUGAGUAAACAAAGGUAAGGCUUCUAUGUAUAUGGAUCAGUAUGGGACUAUUUCACUUUCGGCUCUGAUGAAGUGAUUGAAAUGUUUGGACUAAAUGGAUAAUUCAAUGCUGAUUGAUCUUCCUUUAAUUAGGUGCUUCUUCACUUGGAAUUGUGUAGGGCUUCUUGUGUUAGCUAUUCAUGGAUGACGAUGCAUUAAGACGCGUUGGAUUCUUUCAAUUGGUUGCUAAUGGGCAUCAUUGUAGAUAUUUCUUCCAUAUACUCAAGUGCUGAGAUCUAAGGAAAGUCAGAAAUUCAGAAAGUUUUCUCAGAUCAAUUUAUGCAAGGCUUUCCUCCACACUGUUCCCAUUAGUUCAAGCUUUUUGGAAGGAUCAGUUUCACUAUUUUCUAAAGUUGAAUGUGAUCAGUAACCUAGGCCAUCUACAAAGCCUUGGGGUGAAUGGAGUUAAUAUUGAUUUUCUUUUGCAUAUUUGCCAUCUGGUCAAAUUUGAUUUGCUUCUUUCUUUUUGAUGAAUUUUAUAAAGGUAGAGAGCUAUAUUACAUUCCUUGAACUUCUUGUACCUCUCAUUCAUUCCAAAGUUAGAGGAUGAUUGCAAGAGUUGUGUGGAUCAUUGCUCUUAAACACUUGUUAGUAAGGUAAUCUAUUAAUUUC